AAAAAACUUUAGUACUUGACUAUAUUCAUCUCCACAGCUCUUCAAGAAUAAGAAGGGUAUAUAUAAUAUGAUGUUAGCCAUGUGUUGGAGGAAUAAAAAUCUGGCACAUUUCAUUUUCACCCUCUUUUCUUUUGUUUUCACUCACUAAUUAGAAUGUGUUUGAAAACAACAAGUCCCACUAUAAAUGAGCUACUUCCUUUGAUGAUAUUCUUGUUUCCUUUAAAGUAAAAAGAGAUGGAUUUUUGGAGAGGUGGGUAUGAGAAGCUUGAGAAGAGAAGGAGGCCAAUUGCAAUUAGUAGAAGAGGAAAAGGGGUGAAGCUAAGGCGAUGUACAAGGAAGCUCAUGUCUAUGCUGUCAACAAAGAUUGGUAGGAAAUAUGUGAAUUUUGUGAAAAGAAUGAAGAUGGAGGAAGCAUCUCCUGCUAUUGUCUUCUCCUUCCACUGGGGUCUUCCAGUCCUUUCCCACACCAACAAAAUUUCCUUCUCCACUUUACUCACAUAAUUAACAUUCUUGUAAGUUUCUAUCAUUCUUGUAACUUUCUUCUACUUAAUUAGUGCUUUGCAAGCUCAUCAUAUGAUUUACUACUAUACUUUUAUUUAAUUCAUAUACAUAAGUUCACAUUCAUUGGGGAUGAUUAUCGAGAUAACGAGUAGACAAUCUUCCAAGUAUGAAGUAUGGUUUAAUUACAAGUCUUCCAAGAAAAGGAAAAGAAUUGAAGUAUAAAAAUGGAUCGAGAUUAGAAACUAAUUAAUACUACCAAGGAUCAACAAAUGAGAAUGAUAACUUGGGAAUUACUACUCAUCGAGUUUAGAGAAGAAAUCCAGAUGAAUGAAAUAGCAAAAUGAAGUAUAUACAAACACAGCCUUUGAAUUGAGAGAAUAUUGCUUCUCUUGAAUAUAAAACUUAAGGUAGGUAGGUAGGUAGAGGUAGGUUGAUGGAAAUUAAUAUCGAGGGAGGCCAGCAAGACCACCCUUGUAGCGAAUCCAUUCAUGAAGAGCACAUAGGAAUCCUUGAGCCUCCGCUUUGAGCCAAAAAUAUUCCCAAUCUUCAUCACUGAAUCAUUCUUCUUCUUCUUCUUCUUCCUCGACUCUGUCCGAAGCUUUAUUAUGGCCCCGUGAGCGUGACUAGUGUUGUCGUCCUCCUCCUUGAUGGUCUCCAGCUUCAUCUUCAGUAUGUCCUCCACUUCCAUUCUUGACUCCGUCCUCGUCACCUUCUUCUUCAUUCUGCAAGGCAUGCCCCACCGCAUUCUUGCUGGCUCGACUCAAAAAAAGCUCGUUGCAUCAGACUUGCAUUUUCAACAAAUUUAUGCAGAUCGAUUGGGCUUAUUUAUAAUGAGUAGACUUUUGGGAUGAAACAGGAUGUGUGUAGUAGUUGGAAAAGGUGAGUGUCAAUAGACUAGUUCUAACUUUUUUUCUUUUUUGCUCUUUACAACUUGACUCGAUCAUUGCAAACUCUUUCUUGUUUAACUAUUCAAAGCUUUAUUAUUUAUUAUACACCUGACAUCAUCUAGGAUUAGAUUAUAGAUGCCACUUUGCUUUAACAAUUUGGCUUGCUGCGAAUUUUAUGAUUCCUUCAAAACUGCCUUCAGCUUAUAAUACUUCCAUAAUUCGAGUUAUUGAUUAAUCAUGCAAUGACAAGAGGCACACUCCCAUGCAUCUACAUCCAUAUUAAUUAAAUUUUGAAUAUAUUUAAUAAACUAUAAUUAAAAUUAAUAAAUUAUAAUUGAAAUUAAUAAACCCAAAAAGGUUAAUCAACCCUACUUAGAUUAAUUUAUUACUCCCUCCGUCCCAUGAAUCUUGACACGUUUGGUUUCGACAUUGGAAUUAAGGAAUUAUAGAUUAGUGUUGUAAGGGCGUGUUUGAUAUUGGCUAAUACACUGUAUUAGCUAAUUUAGUACAGAUCAGUCUAGUGUUUGAUAUUAUUUAGUAAUAAUGCGGAUGACCCGGUUUAAUCCCACGACCCAAUAUUAUUAAUCCAGAUUUCUUAGGAUUAAUAAUACCACCUCCCCCUAGGAUUAACUUAAACUAGGAUAUUCUGUAUUUAGCCAUGAUAGCAAACACCAACUCAGUAUUAAUAAUAUGUCAUUAUCCACGCUAAAUAUUCUGGUUACAAAUUAUCCUACAUAGAGCCGAGCCGAAUAGCUGGAUGACCUGGCGGCGGCGGCGCACUCGGAGAAGCAACGACUGGAGGUGAGGCGGCGGCACGGCUCAAUCUGGUGUGGAGGUGAGGCGGUGGCGUAGAGGAAGGCUCACCGCUCUGGAACAGAGCACGUCUCGCCGGGAGGCUGGAGGCGCGGCUCGCUCUGGAAUGGAGCGCAUCUUGCUGGGAGGCUUGAGGCGCGGCGGUAAGGGAGGGCGGCUCGUCGGUCUGGAAUGGAGUGCGUCUCGCCGGAGGUCUCGCCGAUCUGGGGCCUGGGGGUGGAGGGAGGCAAGUUUUGGUUUGGGGUGGGGGAAGGGGAAGCGUCGCAUAGAGUGAGAAAGAAGUGAGAUGAAGAUGAUUAUGAAUUUAGGGUUAGGAAAUUGGGGUGGGGAGGCGGGCGCAGCUUUAGGAAAGUAAAAAAAAAAAAUUAUAUAUAUUUAUCGGUCGGUUCGGUUUUUGACCGAUCAAAUUUGGGAAAACCGAACCGGCCGAAAAAACCGAGAUUUUUGGAAAAAAAUGGACCAAAUCGACCGAUCAUAGCAAAAAAAAAUCGACCGAAAACUGAUCGGUUCGGCGUAUUUUUUCCGGUUUUUUCGGUCGGCUUGGUUUUGCUCACCCCUAUCUAGGUCUAGGCAGCAUGUUCCGUCGUUACUUGUGUUAUUUUUUUUAGUUAGUUUAAUCGUAUUUUUGUAAGGUUGUGUGAUUCAGUUGAGAUAUUUGAUUUUGAUUUAUCAAGUUAAAGCUUAGUUUAAAUUGUGAUGUUUUAAUUUGAAAAGGAUGAUUUUGAUAUCAAAACGUUUGGAAGUUUGAAAUGAUUUAUAAGCUUACGAUGAUGCAAAUUUUGGAUAGAAGCAUAGUGAGCCGCGACGCACAACGAGCUGACUAAGGGCACAACUUGAAGUCAGAGACUCUUGUCAACCGUGACACACAGUGAUCCAAGCUGACCAGUUGAAUGCAAAAAUAGGCAGAACGACGGUCAGCCACAGUGUACUCCCAACCGAGCUGACCGAUACGGUUUUAUCUUAAAAUAUAACGUGAAUAUACGCUUCAACAACAAUUUUCAGGACAUUAUCUCAAUUCUUUUCCAAUUUUUUUUCUUUAAAACUUGUGAAAGUGUAGAAAUACCUAGAUUUGCAUAUUUUUCUUUAUCAACAUCAUUGUGGAGAAGAUUUCAAGUUUAAUUCAUAAGAUUUUCAUUAUCUUCCUUUUCAAUGUUUAUUUCAUGGAUUAAUUUUUUCUUACUUGGAUUAUUUUCUCGAUGAUGAACUAAAUUCCUAAUCUAGGGUUCGGG
rnacentral:lncRNA from 1 species